rnacentral:lncRNA from 1 species
UUUGAAACAUAAUCUUAUUUGGCAAUAUUUCAGUUUGUUGAGUCAUAAGCCUGACAAGUAGCUACAGCCCAUGAAGCAGCAUUUCCUUAGGGAGAGCGUGAGAGACGGAAGUGUGGCUUAGCUGGUUUGGACCAUGAUGCACUAUGCACUUCCACCUCAGCCUCAUUAUACAAGUUUCCUCUCUGCUCAGAUCAACCCCAGUUCCCAUGAUUUCGAUGCAAAGAUCAGACUUUCCAGACCACAUGCCAAGAUUCACCAUCAGGAAUACCUGGGUUUCCACUUUCUCCUGCUACAUUAAAGUGUCCACUCGGUGAAAUGAGAACAGCUGGUGGGAGUUAAUCCAUGAGCAGUCAGCCACUUCUUACAUGAUUGAUAACAGCAACUUGGGAAACAAAUUUCCCGUCUUUGAAAUUCCCAUCCCUUCAGGCUGGAGAGCUGGCUCCGGGGAGAGUGGGAGAGCUGUCCCUACCCCCUGCCCCCACUGGCUGCAAAUUAUGGGAGAGUGGACCCUGCACUUCGCCUGGACCGUACACUAGAGCCGAACCUGUUGGCAGGGGUGACGGGGAGCCAGCCCUGAGAGCAUGAGAUCAGGAGAAAUGACCCUGCCUCAUGUGGUGGCAUGGGUGAAGGAAAGAUGCCCCUUCCCUAACCGUUGCCACCUGCAUCAGGCGGAGAGCUGGCCGUGGGGACACAACUCCACCUCACCAACUGCAGCACUCAGGAGGGCAGGCUCUGCACCUGCUGGGGAAAAACAGUAGAGAAUGGCCCUGGUUGUGUCAAUGCCAGUGAGGCAGCCCCGAGAGUGUGGCAACAGGAGAACUGGCCCUCUUGCUUGUUGUCUGCUGAAGUGAAUGAGGUGACUGGGGCAGUGCUGGAGAGCUCACCCUAGUGGUGAACAUGUGAAGAGGCCGGGCCUGUAGAUUCAAGACUACAGGAUCUCUAUGAAACAAGGCAACAGCAGGAUGUCUCCCAGAGGAGUCCCAGUGAGGGCCUACUAUCAAGGGUGAAGCAGAUGCCAGAGGCCACAAACCAGACCAAUCAAUGACUCGUUGCAAUGCACACUUAAAGGAAAGACAAUGGGCCAGUACCCUGAAAACUAUCAAAGAGGACAUUAUGAGAAGCCCAGGCCUUGAUCAAGAAUUGCUGUCUAACUUCUCCUAGUCUGGUAGCCUUGCCUAUACUUCCUGCCUGACUAAUCCUGCCUGCCCGUUGGCUGAAACAGC